rnacentral:tRNA from 1 species
GCGCCUGUAGCUCAGGGGAUAGAGCAACGGACUUCUAAUCCGUAGGUCGCAGGUUCAAUUCCUGCCAGGCGCGCCA